GGAGAUGCCAUGGAAUCAUGAGAAAAUUCAGCAGGAGAAAACCACACAGCCACUUCUGGGACCAAUGCCUAGAGGGAAAAACCUAAUGGAGAAGAGGGAUUGAGGAAAGAGGCUAGCCGCAAGUGACUGCCCAAGAAAGGAUUUGGGGAAGGCAACAAAAGAUGGAUACUGCUCCCUGAAAGCCAGAAACCAAGGGAAAAAAGAUGAUGCCUACAUGGACUCCAGAAGGGCAGAAGUCACAUGGAGGCACCUUGGCAGAUUUCCCUGGAUGAACAUGAGCUGUGAGAACAGGAUCCACUCAAUAUCUCACCCUCCAGUAUUCUCCACGCCCUUCAUGCAACACAUAAACUUCCUUUUAAUCAAAGGACCAUAUUUUAAUCCUCAUGAUGUCAAUAAUUCAAGCAGAGGCAUCCAUCAAAUGUACUUUAGUAAUUAAAAGCUGGUGAUGUUAAAACAAUUAUUCUGCUUACCUUCUAAAGAU
rnacentral:lncRNA from 12 species